GACGAACGCUGGCGGCGCGCCUAACACAUGCAAGUCGAACGGAGCUGAGAGAUGCUUGCUUUUCUUAGCUUAGUGGCGAACGGGUGAGUAACGCGUGAGUAACCUGCCCUGGGGUGGGGGACAACAGUUGGAAACGACUGCUAAUACCGCAUAAGCCCACGAUCCGGCAUCGGAUUGAGGGAAAAGGAUUUAUUCGCUUCAGGAUGGACUCGCGUCCAAUUAGCUAGUUGGUGAGGUAACGGCCCACCAAGGCGACGAUUGGUAGCCGGACUGAGAGGUUGAACGGCCACAUUGGGACUGAGACACGGCCCAGACUCCUACGGGAGGCAGCAGUGGGGGAUAUUGCACAAUGGGGGAAACCCUGAUGCAGCGACGCCGCGUGGAGGAAGAAGGUUUUCGGAUUGUAAACUCCUGUCGUUAGGGACGAUAAUGACGGUACCUAACAAGAAAGCACCGGCUAACUACGU
rnacentral:rRNA from 1 species